rnacentral:rRNA from 1 species
GUGGGGAAUAUUGGGCAAUGGGGGAAACCCUGACCCAGCGACGCCGCGUGAGGGAAGAAGGCCUUAGGGUCGUAAACCUCUGUUGUGUGGGAAGAAGAGCGUGACGGUACCACACGAGGAAGUCCCGGCUAACUACGUGCCAGCAGCCGCGGUAAUACGUAGGGGACGAGCGUUGUCCGGAUUUACUGGGCGUAAAGGGCGCGUAGGCGGUCAUUUAAGUCAGCUGUGAAAUGGUGCGGCUUAACCGCAUCAUGCGGUUGAAACUGGAUGACUGGAGUGCUGGAGAGGCAAGUGGAAUUCCCAGUGUAGCGGUGAAAUGCGUAGAUAUUGGGAAGAACACCGGUGGCGAAGGCGACUUGCUGGCCAGCAACUGACGCUGAGGCGCGAAAGCCAGGGGAGCAAACGGGAUUAGAUACCCUAGUAGUCC